rnacentral:rRNA from 1 species
UACGUAGGGGGCAAGCGUUGUCCGGAAUCAUUGGGCGUAAAGAGCGUGUAGGCGGCCCGGUAAGUCCGCUGUGAAAGUCGGGGGCUCAACCCUCGGAUGCCGGUGGAUACUGUCGGGCUCGAGUACGGAAGAGGCGAGUGGAAUUCCUGGUGUAGCGGUGAAAUGCGCAGAUAUCAGGAGGAACACCUAUUGCGAAGGCAGCUCGCUGGGACGUUACUGACGCUGAGACGCGAAAGCGUGGGGAGCAAACAGG